AGAGUUUGAUCAUGGCUCAGAACGAACGCUGGCGGCGUGCCUAACACAUGCAAGUCGUGCGGGAAAGUGGGGGCAACUCCAUGAGUACAGCGGCGCACGGGUGAGUAACACGUAGGUAACCUACCUCCGAGACUGGGAUAACCUGUCGAAAGACGGGCUAAGACUAGAUAAGACCACGGGAGUUGCGGCUCCAGUGGUCAAAAGUGGCCUCUGCUUGCAAGCUACUACUCGAAGAUGGGCCUGCGCGCCAUUAGCUAGUUGGUGGGGUAACGGCCCACCAAGGCAAAGAUGGCUAGCUGGUCUGAGAGGAUGGCCAGCCACACUGGGACUGAGACACGGCCCAGACUCCUACGGGAGGCAGCAGUGGGGAAUAUUGCGCAAUGGGCGAAAGCCUGACGCAGCGACGCCGCGUGGGUGAUGAAGGCCUUCGGGUCGUAAAGCCCUGUCGGGAGGGACGAAACCUCGGCGACCUAACACGUCGUCGACCUGACGGUACCUCCGAAGGAAGCACCGGCUAACUCCGUGCCAGCAGCCGCGGUAAUACGGAGGGUGCGAGCGUUGUUUCGGAAUCACUGGGCGUAAAGCGCGUGUAGGCGGUCUCCUAAGUCUGGUGUGAAAGCCCGGGGCUUACCCCCGGAAGUGCACUGGAAACUGGGAGACUGGAGUACCGGAGAGGAAGGUGGAAUUCCUGGUGUAGCGGUGAAAUGCGUAGAUAUCAGGAGGAAACACCGGUGGCGAAGGCGGCCUUCUGGACGGAUACUGACGCUGAGACGCGAAAAGCGUGGGGAGCAAACAGGAAUUAGAUACCCCUGUAGUCC
rnacentral:rRNA from 1 species